AGGUAGAACAGCAACCAAUGAAUUAAAUGACGUAGUUAAUGAAAAUCCUUAUUUAAACUGUGAUGAAAAAUAAAUUGUUCAAUCACUAAUACCUGUCACAAAAGUGACUGCAAAUUAUGCCCUGACAGAUGCUCGCUUACCGAACACGUUUUCUAUGAAGAUCAUUUUACGGGUUUUGAGGAGGACGAAGACGACGAUUUGUAAAUUUCAUUGUAUCUAAUACUUGACUACGUAUUUUAAUGUAUGUGGUAAUAUAUUUUUUUUCUAUUAAGAUUAAGUAGAUUAAAUUAUUAAAAGUGCUAUGUUAUUAAGGGUUGAAAUAUUAUGAAAUAGUAUCCCACAACAUAAAACAAUCCUUAUUUAACUAAUCCAAACCAAAUUUUAUCCAUGUUAAGGUUUAAAAUGUUUUAUUUUUUACAAUUAGGGGUAGUUAUCACCCUUUAAAAAAGCUUACAGCUCAAUAUUGAAAAUGAACUAGAGUGUGAAAUGAGCCUAAUACCAACUUUUUGUACAAAUCGAUGCAAGACGAAAAACUUGCGAGAUUUUGCAUUUUUUUGAGUUUUAUUUCCAGGACUAUGAGGAAUUUUAUUCAACCUGUGGAAAUGCUGGCAAUAACUUUAGGAUGAGAUGUGCCUACCAGUAACAGUAAUCCCGAAAGUACCUUAUUUCUUUAUUGCUGACGCAGAUUUGGCUUACAUAAACAUUUGUUGGUACCAUACGCUUGUACCCAUUUGAUUGUUGAAAAUGCACUUUAAGAAUACCCACUAAUAAAUGGUGAGUUCUCCAACGUCCCAUGAAUGUACAACCAGAUUUCACUACAGGUAUUGUCAAGACCUGUAUAGUGCUUCAUAAUUAUGUCGGAGCUAGAGAUGGGUAGCAAUAUAAGAGGAGAAAGCCAACAAUGUGAGAAACAUUCUCUGCAGGUACUUCAUGCCAAGUGUUGGAAGCAUUCCCUGGCAAAUGCAAAGAAUCUGAGAGUUCAGAUUCAGAAAACCAGAAAACAUAAGCAUUAACCUUACAGAUGAUUGGCUUUUUAUUUAUAUGCUUUUAGAUGUUUCGGUUACUUUUGUUUAGUUGUUAAAACAAAUGAAUAAAUAAAUUUAAGAUCAA